CGGAGCCGUAUGAGGCGAGAGUCUCACGUACGGUUCCGGAGAUGCUAGCUGCUAGGAAAAAAAAGAAGAGCCUGAGAAGCCCCUGACCCACUCUUCC
rnacentral:ncRNA from 1 species